rnacentral:lncRNA from 1 species
AGAUUUCAUGCAUGCUUGUAUACGCUGAGCGUACCAACGGAGGUACACCCCGCAUAACCUCGUUGUGGGCUUUUUGGGCUAGAUCUUAUUUUGGGCCUUAAGGGUUGGGCCUGGAUCUUUGGGCUAGUAUACUAGAGAUUUUAAGCAGAGAAAUAUUAUAUAUAUAUAUAUAUGCCUUGGGCCCUUGUGUUGGGCUUGUCGCUUGGACUUGAGAGUUGGGCCUCAAGAGAGCCCAUUCAUUAUUGGGCCUUGGUGGGACCAAUGAGUUUUAGGUUAAUGAUGGGCUAGUUAGUAGACUAACUUUAGAACUAAAGAGUGAGGAUUUGGACUAGGAUCAUAAUUGGGUAAUUGUGGAUUUUGGUCUAGUGUUAGAGGCGGUGUGGCAGCAACAUCUAUAGCAGUUGUUCGUCAUCUGAGGUGAGUCUUCUCACUAUACUUUACCUAGAGUGGUAACCUUUGUGGGACCAGUGGGUCUUAUGUGCUUAUAUUGAGUAUUAUGAUAUCGUGCAUUAUGUCUUGGUGAUUUAUGUUGUGUAUUAUUUUGAGCUUACUAAGUUAGGACCGGAGGGUCCACCUGAGUUUUAGGACCGAAGGGUCCCACUAAGACACAUUGACCGGAGGGUCUUAUCUGAGUAUAGCCAUGAAAGGCUAGUGAGAUAUGUUUGGUAUUUUGAGGAACUCACUAAGCUUCGUGCUUACCGUGUUAUGUAAUAUGUGUUUCAGGUUCUUCUCAGGAUCACAGGUAGGCGUCGGCUUGAUUGUACACACCAGAGAAAGAGUUGUGUUUUGAGGUUCCUGGAUUAUUAAUCAAAUAAUUAUGGAGUUACGUUUAUUAAAUUAUAUAAAUGGGAUUUUUGUGAAAUGUGUUAUGAGAAUUAUGUGAUUUUAAAAUGAAAAUUUUUUUUGAAAAUUUACGGUGUUACAAGUUGGUAUCAGAGCCUUGGUUUGAGGGAUUCGGAUGCACCUUCGGAUAUAUCUGGACUCAAACUGAGGAAUUGAGAAAAAAUUUCAAAAGAAAUGAUUUUUCUAAAAUGAGCAAGAGUUUCUAAGAGAAAAAUCAGAAGGAGCAGUGUGUACAACCAGCCAGAUCCCGAAUGGUGAUUUCCCAAAAUACCCUUACUUAUUUGCGUUAUGAGUUAUUAUUGAGAUAUUAGUGAUGCAUGCUAGAAGAUAGGCUAGGUAUUUCAUACUUUAGGGCUAGAGUUGCCUAAUUUUUUAUGCCUUAGCCUAGAAAAUUUUGCUAUCUGUGAUACGCUUUGAGAAUGUGCGGAGUAAGAGUAUCCAGUAGGAAUCUUUUAGAAAGAACUUUCAGUAGAGGAGUAAUCUAGGAGAGAUACCUAGAUGAGCAUUAGAGGAGCCUAAUGAGGGAGUAGUUAGAUACCCGCGAGAGGUAGGGUUGCUUGAGUUAGGUGAUACCUUUUGAGUGUUAGUAUAGCAAUUGGAGUUGUAACCUAGAGUGGUUUUAGUUGUUUGUGGAGAUUAUUCGAUGCUCGAAUGAUGCUUGCUUCGUGCUUUGUGGAACUCUUGAUGAUGGGAGUUUCUACUAAGAGAAUAUAACGAUAUUCCGGAGGUAGAUGUCUGGCAUCAUAAGGAGUUCUUCAGCAACUGAUGGCAGAGAAGUGUGAGAACCUAGAAAGAGCCUAGGGAGUGACCUUAGUCAAAUGAGUACGCUGAUAGAGGAAAGUAUUCACUGGAGAGCGAUCAGGUAUAAUGGGAUUGGUGAUCAAGAAGGUUGAGCAACUACUUAGGAAAUAUGGGUUGACCAGUGUGGAAAGUAUGGGUUGAUGGGAAAUAUGGGAUGAUCGAGUUAGUUUCUGAUAGAUUUUAUUGGUGAGAUGCCAGUUGGAGUCGCAAGACUUAGGAAUGAGUAGAGAUGAUGCUUAUUGGAGGAUCGCGGUCUGAGUUGAGCAAUCGACCGAUAGAUGAGACGUCACCUUCUGUGACAAGAGUUGCAAUGUCCCCGUUUCCUGGGAGAAGCGAAAGAGAUAUCGAGCUUCCGGUUUCAGAGUUGGAAGUAAAUCCCGUAGGGUAGCAUAGGUUUGCAACCUUUUCACCAGAGUAUUUGGGCAGUAUGUUUGCUGCGAGGUAUUUCUUAUACCAUGAGAGAGUCAUUAAUAGGGCUAAGAUAGAAGAGAGCAAGGAGGUGCCUUAUUGAGGGAGACAUACUUUUAGCAUCAGUUCCACGUGAUUAAGAAGAGUAUAUCAGGGCGGUGUCCCUCGUUGCCUACAUUGUGUAUCAACUAUGAGAGUGAGGUCUCGGUCGAGGAAUCAGAGAUGAGGUGUGUGAUAGUACCCAAGGGGAACAGUUGGGGUAUCCAGCAGUGUGUCAGUCUAAGGCUUCGAGAUGACUAGAGGCAGUCACAUUGGGAGGAUUCUGAGAUUUUUGUCUGAGUUACGGGAUAUUUGGAGUUGCUUGGUUUCCAUUGGGAAGAUCAUUGAAGUGAUUACGUGGUACGUUCCAAUAGUCAAGUGUGAUAUACGUGGUGAAACAAUCUAUGGAGUAUAUUGUUGGUAUGCCAAUUGGUGAUGGUUCGAACCCUGAGUGGGGGAGAACUGGGUAUUCUAUUGAGAGGAUCAGCAAUCCGUUCAAGUGCAUUUACUGAACUGGUUAUAGAGAUAUUCAGUGUCGACACAUGAGACCUGGGUUAUUGGUGGAUGAGGUAAGGUGUAAGGUGAGAUGAUGUAUGUGUGUGUGCUUAAAAAAGGAUGAGUGAAUCCACGGCAGGUGGCCGUUGGUUAGAGAAUUUAUUGUGGACAGGUAUUUUUCGUGUUUGCAAAUGUUGAGUUUGAGGCAGUUGGGUCGCUGAGUUCAGGGUGCAAUAGCUGAGUUUUGUGGGUAUAGGUAUAGAUUGUGAUCAAUACUCCAGGAGGGGCAGCAGUUGAUUUGUCAACCAAUUUCAGAGUCGGUAUGAGUAGUUUCAUAUGAGUGGUGAUUAGUAGAGGAUGGAGCUUCGGAUUUUCGUCAAUGUGUUUUCAGUCAUUGACGAUUCCUCCGUGUUUCAAUUUGUGAGAUGGCAGUAUUUCGAGGUUUCGAGUUGCGUGAGUGGAAAAUCAGUGGUUAGGGCAAGACAUCGUGAGAUGUCGUGAUGGUGUACCGAGGUACCCGAGUAUGAUAUCCUAAAUUUUUGGUCAUGUUGAGACUCGAGUUGUGAAAUGGAGAGUGGAGUACCGAGUGACUUUUGUUCCGGUGGGAACCCAUCAGUUAAUUAUCGCCAGAGUGGGACUGUCUAAGGGUGUCUAUGUGUUGAGAGAAGUUACUUGCCUAUGAGAACUUACAUCAGGAGUAGUGGUGCAUAAGCUGGGUGGGUGUAAGCACCUAUCUAUGUUGAGCUGCAGAGCAUGAGUUGGUGAACUCAGUGUAGUGAUGAAUUGAUGAUGAGAUUAUGGGGUGAUAAGAGAGUAAGUGGAUCCGAGUGGGAGUAAUCGCUUGUGGUUAUCAGGAAAAACCAUGGAGUGAUCCCAUGGUGAGCUAGUGAGCGAGAUAGUGUUGUAAGACUACGGGGAGCCGUAGCAUCCAUGAGUUAGUGUGAGAGGGUAUCGUCGUACUAUGGGGAGCCAUAGUAUUCGCUAGCCAAUGAGAGAGUGUCGUGAUGUUGCGGGGAGCUGUAGUAUUUACUGGAUAGCGGGAGAGUGUUGUGAUGCUGCGAGGAGCCAUAGUACUCACUAGUCAGCAAGAGAGUGGUGUGGUAUUGUGGGGAACCAUAGUAUUCACUGGUUAUCAAGAGAGUGUUGAGAUACUGCGGGGAGUUGUAGCAUUCACGAGUCAGUGAGAGGAUGUCGUGAGUCUACGGGGAGCUAUGCCAUUCAUGAGUAAAUAAAGGAGCAUCAUAAGACAACGGGGGCAACCAUAGCACUCAGUAGUCAAUAAAAGUGAUUAAUGUUCUGUGGGGAGCUGUAGUAUUCACUAGUCAUAGUAUGAUGCAGAGGAGCUCUUAGGCUUGGGUAGUCUUACAACUUGAGUAUUCUAGAACCUGGUUGCCGGACCACGACCGAGAAUGGGGUCUCCGUGACGGUCGGGAAUCUUUAUAUCCUGGGUUGAGGAGGGUUUAUCGUAAUCGGAAGGAAUUGGUGAGAUGGUGUGUGCAUAAAUUCGCGAAUCACGAGUAUGGGUUAAGUUUCAGAUUGGAAAUGAGUGGUUCCAGUUCUGUUGUUGAAUCAGACUCUCGAGAUGAGUUUGGGAAAAUUCGUGUAUUGAGUAGGCGAGAUGAGGUUUCGGAUUCGUAGAUGGGUUUCAGUUUGAGGGCUAUUGAUCUCCAUCGGAUGUCUUAGACCGGGGUGGGUCAGAUUCGUUGGUAUAGGAAGAACCGCAAGACUCAUGGAACUAGUAGGGGUAGACGACAAAGGUCGUAGGUGAGACGACUUUAGAUGGGGUUGUAGUAUUCGCUUGGGGUAAAGCGAACCUCGUGACUUGUGUGUCAUGAUGGGCCGAGAUAGUUAUUGUGCGAAAGAAGCUGGUAAAUCGUUUUUGGGCGUGUAGUGGGUAACCUUUGGAGGUUCAACUAUUGGGUCAGGAGUUGACCUGGUGCUCAGUGUAGAAGGGAUAUUUGAGAGGAAGCUGGGACUUAUAAUUAUAGAUGUCAGAGGAAAUUACACCCUCAAACCAGAAUGGCGGAAACGUACAGGGGCGGAGGACGUCAUGUUUAGUAUCACAACACAUGCAUCAUAGUAAUCAAAGUAACAAACAACCAUUGCAUUAAUCUUAAAGCAUUUACAAAGUAUGUGGUUCACAAAAGAUAUACUCCAAAUGUAAAUAACAAAACAAGACAUGAAACUACUAUACUCCAUCUUCUAAAUCCCAGUGCACGUACGUGUCUACUAGUUUCCUGAGAAUACAAGUUAUUUUGAAAGAGUAUAUCAGCAUUUAAGCUGCUGAGUUCACAAGUAUUUAGGUGAUGAAAAGUAUGUUGUAAGUUCUUUUUAGAAAAGUUCAUCUGUUCCUCCAGAAAAUCCUAUAUUUUCUGAUAUGAGGAAUGAAAGUGAAAAUGAAUCUACAAUUCCUUCUAUGAGUACUAAAUGGGUACAAGUUAUAUACAAUUUAGAGUAAACAGACAAUUGAUUGUGUGAAUUUGCCCUAACCCCACAACCAAACAAGGAACAGGGAAUGAGGCGGAAGUUACACAUCCCAUUAUUUGUAUGUUAUGACCUGAACCAUACCUGGUACGCCUUAUGAUUACUUCGUGUAUACGGAAUAUAUAUAUAUAUAUAUAACUAAGAUUGGAUAGACAGUAGACUUGGUGCAUCUGCUCUAAGCCCACAACCAAACAAGGAACAUGAAAUGAAGCAGAAAGCACACAUCCUACUGUCUGCCGGACCUGAUCAAUAUAUAUCCCUGAUAUAUCUACAAAGGAAUCAUAAAGUUAGCAUUAUAGCCCCUUUCUAAAUGAAUAUACUAAGACUUGACUGUAAUGUUUGUCUUUUUGUAAGUUUUCCCAAGUUUAAGACUAUAUUUUAUAGAAAAUAGUUUACAUUACCUUUUAUGUGAUAAGAUCACUAUAUGAAUGUAAUGCGAAAAUGAAAGUAUUCAGUAAUGUUGUAUAAAGUAACUACUAAAACACUAACUACCUUAAAACCAGUUUGUUAAUUAAGGUUAAAAUUGUGAUGUGGUUAUUGAUGGGUUUUGAGCAUUCUAACACUUCCUAAGUGUACAUGCAACCCUAAUAAACCUUGGAUCUAUGUUUGUCUAAGAUACAUGCAAAUAAUUAUUUUUCCAAGGCUUAUAUCCUAACUAGCAUGGCAUGGGGAACUUGAAUCAAAUAAAGUUAGUAGAAACACUUACCUUGUAGUUGUAGUUGAUUCCUUGGAGUUUUAGAGCCUUGCACCAAUAAUGUGGAUGCCUCAAAUGAAAGUCACAAAUCACCACAAACUUGGAACUUUGAGAGAAUAGUCACACUUCUCUUGAAAUCGGCCCUCACCUCAACAUGUGUCAACUAGUGUGAUUUCAAGAGCCAAAGCCUCCUUUAUAUAGUGUGGUGGAUUAGGGUUACAUCCAUGUAAACCCUAAUACCCAUGUCUCUUCAUUUCCAUGAGAUCCAUGGGUUAAAGCUCCAUGGAGUAUCCAUGGACUUCUCCAUCCAAGCCUAGCCCAUUCCAAAUAAGCAUAAGCCCACACUAUAUAAAUAUAGAAGCCCAUAUUUAAUUAGUAAUAUCUUUGAUCACUAAAUUAAUCCUAGAUUAAUUAUAGAUCACUACUAAUUAAAUAAUAUGAUCUUAUAUUAAUAUAUUAGAACUUAUAAUAUAUUAAUAAAUCAUAACUUGUACUAUUCUCAAAUAUUAUCCAUAAAUUGUUCGGGUGAAGUGCAACCCAAAUGGACCAUGCCGGGUCGGGUCAAGUACAUACCAAAUAUAGUUAUGGACUUAGACACUAUAUCCAACAGUCUCCCACUUGGAUAAGUCUAGUAACUAUAUUUGCAAGUAUAACUUCAGGAACCGAUCAGCAAUCGUAGCUCUUUAAACUCUGUUGAACUAGAACGCGCCAUUUAGAUAAGUGAUCAUAUAAUCCUCUGUUCUAGAUAUCAGCCGGACAAAUACAUGGAACAUUGUCUUGCUUAUUGUCCAGCAUUUGUUUCCCGAUUUCCGAUUUGUUUGACAUAGAACUCAACUGAACACAUCAAUUUAGUUCUGACCGGGCCCGGUACAUAGGUCAAAACAAAAUCAUCGAGGGGCCCAGAUAUCAGCUUCUAAUCCAAGAAGGAACAGAUAAACUUCGACUCAUAUGUUUGUUCUACCACUCAUUGAAUUACACACAAAAGCACGUUUUAUAACAUCGAGUUACCAAUGCGUUUUCGUACAAUCAAUGCAUAACCAACUCGUAAGUAACAAAUCAUAUCUCUAGGUUUGAAGACUUAUAUGAUAUUACCGUCUCACGAUCACUCGAGAUAAAAUUCCAUGAAGUGAUUCCAGUGAGCGUGGGUUGAGUCCAAUGCUCAGAACUUAUGAGCACUCAUGAUUGUUGUAGCCUUGUCCAACACCUUAGACCUCUGCAACCCAUCAUGACAGUCUUGAUUCAUACCUACUUCCGACAUAUGACCGACUGUGGAGGUUUGAAUAAUAUGUUAUACCAAACAAAAUUAUUCUGGAAGUCAAAACAUGCAAAAGAAAUAUAGUAAACGAUCGACAAGAGAUAGCAACACUUUACUCAUAAAUAAAACACCUUUUAUUCAUCAUCAAAUGUCAAUUACACUUUACAAAUUUCUGGGUUAUCUAACUACUAAAACUUAUAUCAUCCUUCAGCCCUAUGCUCCGAGCAUGCUGGAGAUGCUUAACCCUACUCAGUCCCUUCGUGAGGGGAUCUGCUGGGUUCUCAUCCGAUGAUACCCUCUUCGCCACGAGGAGUCCUUCUUCGAUUCGAUGUCUGAUAAAAUGGUAUUUUCUGUCGAUGUGUCUGGAUCUCCCGUGAUCCCUUGGUUCCUUGGCUAAGGCAACCGCACUAUUGCUGUCAUAGAAAAUCUCCAUAGGCUCUUUUAUAGCUAGUACAACUCCAAGGUCUCCGAUGAAGUCCUUUAGCCAUGUCACCUCCUUUGCUGCUUCGCUUGCUGCUAUAUACUCUGAUUCACAAGUGGAAUCAGCCACUGUCUCCUGCUUGGAACUCUUCCAAGAAAUUGCUCCUCCGUUUAGGGUAAAGACCCAGCCUGACUGAGAGCGGAAAUUAUCCCUAUCAGUCUGGAAGCUAGCAUCACUAUACCCUACAACUCUCAAGUCAUCACUCCCACCGAGGGUAAGGACCCAGUCCUUAGUCCUUCGCAGGUACUUGAGGAUAUUCUUUACCGCAGUCCAGUGUUCCUUGCCAGGGUUCGCCUGAUACCUGCUAACCAUGCUCAAAGCAAAGGCUACAUCAGGUCGAGUACACGUCAUAGCAUACAUGAUCGAUCCUACAGCUGAAGCAUAAGGAAGUCGACUCAUUUCUGCUAUCUCAGCCUCAGUACUAGGGCUUUGUGUCUUACUCAAUCUGGCGUUACUCUGAAUGGGUAACUCACCUUUCUUGGAGUUAUGCAUGUUGAAUCUUUUCAACACUUUGUCCAAGUAGGUACUUUGACUAAGUCCAAUUAGUCUUUUACUCCUGUUUCUCAAAAUCUUUAUCCCUAGGAUAUAGGCAGCUUCACCAAGGUCCUUCAUAGCGAAACACUUCCCAAGCCAGGACUUUACUUCCUGCAGGGUUGGGAUGUCAUUUCCUAUGAGUAGUAUGUCAUCCACAUACAGUACCAAAAAACUGACUAUGCUCCCACUAGCCUUGAUAUAGACGCAAGAUUCAUCUUCACUCCUUGAAAAGCCAAAUUCCUUGACUUUCUCAUCAAAGCAAAGAUUCCACCUGCGAGGUGCCUGUUUCAAUCCAUAAAUGGAUUUCUCGAGUUUACACACUCUAUUAGGGUACUCGUUGCUGACAAAACCCUCUGGCUGACUCAUGUAAACAUCUUCAGCCAACUUUCCAUUAAGGAAAGCGGUUUUGACAUCCAUUUGCCAUAUUUCAUAGUCAUGAAAUGCAGCUAUGGCUAACAGAACCCGAAUAGACUUAAUCUUGGCUACUGGAGAAAAGGUCUCAUCAUAGUCCACUCCAGGAAUUUGAGAGAAGCCCUUUGCAACCAGUCUCGCCUUAUAAGUGUGUACUUUACCAUCCAUGUCGGUCUUCUUCUUGAAGACCCACUUGCACCCUACAGUCUUACGACCAGGUACAUUCUCAACCAAGUUCCAAACUUGAUUGUCAUACAUGGAUUGUAUCUCGCUAUCCAUGGCCUCUUUCCAUUUAGCAGCCUCAGGGCCUGCCAUGGCUUCCAUGUAGCUGUUAGGUUCAUCCAGACCUACUAGUGUCUCAUCACUAAUAAGUGUCUCACCUUCCGCAGUAAUAUGGAAACCAUAGUAAUGCUCAGGUGCAUUCCUAACUCUCGUGGAACGCCUCAGAGGUACAGGCUCAUCAACUGGCUCAACAGGAGUUUCCUCCUCAAGUUGAGGGCUAGUGUUUGAAGUUCCUUCACCGCUUGAUUCUUGAAUUUCUUCAAGAUCAAUUUGCCUCCCACUGUCUCCUUGGCUUAUAAAUUCUCUCUCUCGAAAGACUCCUCUUCUUGCUACAAAGACCACAUUGUCACUAGGUCUGUAGAAGAGGUAACCAAAGGAUUGCUGUGGGUAGCCGAUGAAAAUACACCUCUCGCUUCGAGGUUCGAGCUUAUCAUGAGUCUCGCGUCUCACGAAAGCCUCGCAACCCCAAAUCUUGAUGUGGUCUAGUUUAGGUACUUUACCAGUCCACAUCUCGUGAGGAGUUUUGGCAACUUUCUUUGUAGGGACUAGAUUAAGAAUAUGGGCGGCAGUCUCUAAGGCAUACCCCCAGAAUGAGAUUGGUAGCGUAGCUCGACUCAUCAUGGAACGAACCAUAUCCAACAAGGUUCGAUUACGCCUCUCAGCCACACCAUUCAACUGUGGUGUCCUGGGAGGUGUCAAUUGUGAGACAAUCCCACAUUCCCUAAGAUAGUCGAGGAACUCUGAACUAAGAUACUCACCUCCUCGAUCGGAUCGAAGCAUCUUAAUGUUCCUGCCCAAUUGAUUCUCGACUUCCUGUUUAAAUUCCUUAAACCUCUCGAAAGUCUCUGACUUAUGCUUGAUUAAGUAGACAUAUCCAUAUCUACUAUAAUCAUCAGUAAAAGUCAAAUAAUAACGAUUAGCAUCCCUUGUGGCAUGUUUGAAUGGUCCACACACAUCCGUGUGUAUAAGGUCCAACAAACCUUCACCCCUCUCACACGAACCUGUGAAGGGUGACUUUGUCAUUUUUCCAAGUAAGCAUGAUUCGCAACUAUCAUCUGACUUUAGGUCAAACGACUCCAAGACUCCAUCCUUUUGGAGUUGGCCUAUGCGUUUCUUGCUUAUAUGUCCAAGACGACAAUGCCAUAAUGAUGCUUUAUCCAAGUUAUUAUUAGUAGAAUCAAUACACAAAACAUUAUUUCCCAAGUUAUCUACAACAGAUACAGCUUCAUACACACCAUCACAAGGUAAUGCUUUAAAAUAAAAGACAUUAUUAUAGAAAACAUCUAUAGAACCAACUUCAUUAUUAAAUGAAAAGGUAAACCCUUGUUUGUACAAAGCAUGAAAGGAAAUAAUAUUUCUUGCCAUUCCUGGCGAAUAACAACACUUAUUCAAAUCUAAACUAAACCCACUACUUAGCGAUAAAGUAUAAACUCCAAUCUUGGUAACAGGUAUAGCUUUCCUAUUCCCCAUGAUCAAGUUUAUCCUUCCUUGCUCCACAUCCUCACUUCUUCUUAGUCCCUGCAAGUCACAACAAAUGUGAAUACCACACCCGGUAUCAAGGACCCAAGAAUUAGAAUGGGGUGAGUUAUUAGAAAUGAUAGUGUAAAUACCUGCAUGGUUGGGUUUAACUUUCCCAUCCUUCACAUCUUGCUGGUAUUUUGGGCAGUUCCGCUUCCAAUGAGCUUUUUCAUGGCAAUAGAAGCAUUCAGCCUCUUUUGGGUCAGAAGAAGGAGUAAUGAAACCUUUCUUGGUUCCACUUGAAGAAGAGCCAUCAAGGGUCCGAGCCUUGGUACCCUUAGAAGAGCUCUUUCUCUUCCUCCCUCGACUUUUCCCGAUUGCCAAAACCGGAGUAGAGUUUUGAGUAGGAGUGAUAGCAACCGACUUCCCCUUAAGACCUGUUUCUGCGGUCUUGAGAAGUCCCUGAAGUUUGCUGAGGGUGACUUCUUCCUUGUUCAUGUGAUAUGUCAUGCGGAAUUGAUCAUAGCACGAUGGUAAGGAAUGCAAAAUAAUAUCUAUUGCAAGAUCCUCCGGGAAGUUCACAUUAAGCUUCAGCAAACGAUCCACAUACCUUUGCAUUUUCUGCAUGUGGCUCGUGACGGAUUCCCCGUCCUUCAUCAUGGUUGUUAUCAUGGAGCAGAUGAUUUCAUACCUCUCUUGUCUUGCACUUUGAUGGUAUCUUUCCAUCAAAUCUUGGUGCAUGUCAUAAGGGUAGAAAUCCUCAUAAGACUUUUGGAGUUCCGCUGUCAUCGUGGCCAUCAUGAUGCAAGCCACUUUCGUAGCAUCCCUUUCAUGUGCCCGAAAUUCAGCGAUCUCCUGAGGAGUUGCAGUGGACUCAUCAAUCUCCUUAAGCUCCUUGUCAAGGACAUAUUCUUUGUCCUCGUAGCGGGUAAUCAUCCUGAUGUUUCUGAUCCACUCAUUGAAGUUGGAUCCAUCAAAGGUGACUUUCCCACACAAGUUCAUAAGGGUAAAGGAGCCAUUAGGAUUAGAGCCAGAAGCAUUGUUGAAAGACAUCUGAAGGAAAGAGGACAAGAUUAGUUUAGAUAUAAGAGAGUCCUUAAUAAAACACCCAAAUGUAAUAUUAAGGCUAGGAUCCAAUCACAAUAUAAUAUAACUUAGAAGAGGUAUGCCGUAAUCUAAGCUAUAUCAUAUUUGAAAGGUAGGUGAAUGACGAUUCACCAAUUUCCACCACGAAAACCGCAAUAUUUUAGUAUUAGGUUUUUGAAUGGUUCUUAGAAAUUCCUAGAUUCUUUGAGAUUCAAUGAACUUUUCAAAGGCAUGUUUCAAUCUCGAGUGUGCCCUCCAAGUUUUGUGACUGGGAUACCGAGGAUCACAAAACGAGGUGUGAAGUAACCAUGCAAAUCACUUGGUACCCUUAAAGUUUAUCACUCAAUCGAUGUGCCGGUUAACCACACACGCUCCAUCGAUACUAUAAUAAACCCUAAGUCACCCUUUACCUACCUUGUUAAGUCCAAGUUAGUGUGCCGGUUAACCACACACGCUCCACCAACGACUUAAUCAAAGUGUAAAGUGUAAUUUCAUGGAAUAGCACCUUAUUCACAUUUUUCCUAAAGUAACUAAGAUUGGGAAUUUAAUAAAACAUUUAGUUACUUUAUAAUAUUCAUCAUACUUUGAAUGAGAAUUAAUAAGUCCUUGUCUUACCCGUUCGGCUAACGACCCUCCACCGAUCAAGCAAGCGGUGGGUGAGAGUGGACACCCAUUAAGUCACCAUUUUAUAGGCAACAACCUUAUACCCACCUUAUAGACCGGCUUCGUGAAUGAGGCGUACUAGCGGUAAGACGACUUUGUUCUUAUACAUAUAUAUAUAAUUAUUAAAUCAUAAUAAUAUAAGUAUAAGGGUUGAAUUUUAACUUUUAAAAUUCUAGGGGUUGGAACUAAAGUUUUAACUUAACUUUACUUGUUCCAAAACUUGAGGGCAAGUUUUGUAAACUUUCAAAACUUUUCAUUUCUUGUAACUUAUGAGUUUAAUAGAGUAAUAAAAUGAGGACUUUUCAUUUUUCCUAACUCUUGUGUUCUUUUAAUGGUUUUUAAUCCAAGAGACUUUUGGUUUUCCAUAACUUGAGGACAAGUUAUGGACUCCAUUAAAACACAUUAUGAUCAUGAAUUAAUCUACCACAUAGGUUACAAAUAAUUCCUAUGAUCAUCUAAACAUCAUAAGAACAAGAAUAUGAAUAUGAACACUUUCAAGAAUCAAAAUCACAUUUAAUCUUUGUAAUUUUGAUAACUAGUUGUUGUAAAUGAGUUAGAAAAGACAUUACACCUUCUAAAAUAAGUUUUCAAGUACCAAAACAUUUUAGGGUAAUGAUUCUAAUCCAUUUCCAGCAACUCAAGUCGAAAUUCUGCACUCUGUCGACCCUACUCGCCGAGUGCAUAAACCUACUCGCCGAGUAGGUUGAAGAUACACAUGAACUCGACGAGUCCUCCCCAUGGACUCGCCGAGUCCAUCAGUCAGACAGCAGAAUUUUCGACUUUCUUCAACUUUUAAGCACAAAUAACAAACAAACAAGCCUAGGCUCUGAUACCACUGAUGGGUUUUGAGCAUUCUAACACUUCCUAAGUGUACAUGCAACCCUAAUAAACCUUGGAUCUAUGUUUGUCUAAGAUACAUGCAAAUAAUUAUUUUUCCAAGGCUUAUAUCCUAACUAGCAUGGCAUGGGGAACUUGAAUCAAAUAAAGCUAGUAGAAACACUUACCUUGUAGUUGUAGUUGAUUCCUUGGAGUUUUAGAGCCUAGCACCAAUAAUGUGGAUGCCUCAAAUGAAAGUCACAAAUCACCACAAACUUGGAACUUUGAGAGAAUAGUCACACUUCUCUUGAAAUCGGCCCUCACCUCAACAUGUGUCAACUAGUGUGAUUUCAAGAGCCAAAGCCUCCUUUAUAUAGUGUGGUGGAUUAGGGUUACAUCCAUGUAAACCCUAAUACCCAUGUCUCUUCAUUUCCAUGAGAUCCAUGGGUUAAAGCUCCAUGGAGUAUCCAUGGACUUCUCCAUCCAAGCCUAGCCCAUUCCAAAUAAGCAUAAGCCCACACUAUAUAAAUAUAGAAGCCCAUAUUUAAUUAGUAAUAUCUUUGAUCACUAAAUUAAUCCUAGAUUAAUUAUAGAUCACUACUAAUUAAAUAAUAUGAUCUUAUAUUAAUAUAUUAGAACUUAUAAUAUAUUAAUAAAUCAUAACUUGCACUAUUCUCAAAUAUUAUCCAUAAAUUGUUCGGGUGAAGUGCAACCCAAAUGGACCAUGCCGGGUCGGGUCAAGUACAUACCAAAUAUAGUUAUGGACUUAGACACUAUAUCCAACAGUUAUAACCAUACUGAUCGACAAGUGUUCAACACGACGACCUGUUGGCAUUGAAACUGAUGUGACAUUUGUCACCCCUUGGCCUACCGGCCAAACUGUAGCGAACAUUUGGGAUGCGGGCUUGUCAGUCCUGUAUAGAUCUAUACACACAAUGUCCGCUCUCCCUCCAUGAGACUCUGGUUACAAAACGUGACAUAACAAGUAUAUUGCAAAGUCGUGAAGUAGUCUCACGUAAAUGUUAUCUUGUUCUUGUUAUCGUAUGUUCCUUUCUGUUCUUGUUAUUGUAUGUUCCUUUCUGUUCCUGUUAUUGUAUGUUUUAACCCCUAAAAUAUACAUAUUAUAAUUUUACUAGUAUAUUUGUUUUGAACUGUCUCUGAUUUGUAGAAAAGACUCGAUUAUCUAUCGAGUUAUAAUUGUACUUUAAAAACAGAGUUUUAUAAACAAUAAAGUAACAUAACUUAAAAGAAUUUUUGAAAUGAUUUUGAUCACUUAUAAGAGCAUAAGAAAUCCUUUAUUGUGAUAGUUAUCACAGAUAAACAUUUACACAAUAUCAUUAUGUUCAACUAGUAUUCCCCCCUUAAAAGCAUUUAAAACAUUUAAAAGAUUGAUUAUAGGGGGUAUGAACUCACCUUAUGUGGGUGAUUCAAUUCUAGAUUCCCGAGACAAAAAACGAGCCCUAAAUGACAUAUAGUGAUACAUAUAUGUAUAUAAUUAGUGUCUAAAACAACUAACAUGGAGGGAAACAACCUUAGGGACCAAGAAUCACUCACAAUGGAGUGCUAGAAUCACAUGUGAUUGAUUGAAGGGAGUUCACGGUCACACUAAGAAGUGUUUACGGCCUUAGAGUUUUCACGGCCAAAAACACAUUAUGUGUUCACGGCCAAGCAUGAUCAUAUGAAGGGUUUACGGCCAAGGAAGGAUGGUUCACGAUCCAACAAGCAUUUUGAAGGGUUCAUGGCCACAUGAAGGGUUCACGGCCGUGAACUCUUGAAGAUCUUGCAUUUGGUACUUGUUUCAUGGCUAGGAAUCAUGUGUUUCUUAUAGAUAACUAGAUGAUAGAAGAGAUACUCACACUUUGGAAGACUUUAGGGUGUUUACGGCCCGAGAACAAGUGUGUGUUCUUGGUGUUCUUGGUGAAAGAUGAUGAUCUUCAAGAUCUAGACCAAAAGUGGUGAAUUCAUGGAUGGAAUCAAAGAGUGUUACUAGAUCAAGAAGGAUAUCAAGAAACAAUGGAAGAAACACUUACAAAUUUGUCAAGAAUUUAAAGUGUUCUUGAUGAUACUUGAGAGAGAAAUGAGUGUUAUUGAGUUGGAAUUGUGAGAAAUGAAGAAAAUUGAAGGGAUAUCAUCCUUAUGGAAGGAGUUCACGGCUAGGAGGGUGUUUACGGCCGUAAAUAGAGUGUACGGUCGUAAACCCCAUGUGGUUGGCUUUCUGGUUCAGGUGCAGCCUUCUGAUCUCGAGCGAAUACUUCCUAACACUCAAUCCUUAAGUGUACUAGGCUUAGAAAAAACUCAUUAGAAUGACCCUUAACAAGGCUAGAAGGUAAUAGAAUUAAGUUUGAAUUUUGGUUGAUUGAACUGACUUUACAAGAUAAAAAAUUUCGAGUUGUCACAUCAUCCCCCGGUUAGAUAGAAUUUCGUCCCGAGAUUAGCUUUCUUAGCAGUACUCUUGGGGUCGUGCUACUCUGAAUGACAGAAUACUCACUCGUAGACCUCGGAAACUUUGCCCUGACGCUCAUCAUAAGAUUCAUACCUGGUCCAGCUAUCAUUACCUCGUGUAUACGAGUCAUAUGUAAUUAAGUAGUAAGGCGGUUAGAUGUGCGACUCUGCCUCAGGUCCACAACCCAAUAAGACGGAAACACACAUACUAAAUCUGCAUAAUCAUAAUCAUAUACCACUCUCAUGUAUACACUUAAUAGUGAUAGGUGGGUUAUAUUCAUUCGUAGCCUCUAUGCUUGAACUUGAUCUGUUGAACGAGUGGUAGUUCGGGAAGGUUUUCUAAGUAUAUGGUGGCAAGGUUUUAGAGGGCAAGGUACCCCUCGCAUGAGUACUUCGGGGUUUAGAAGACGAGGGUUUCGUGAAUUUGAUGGUGAAGGUGAUGGAAACAUAUGAACUUAGUAUGGUGAGGACCAUGCCAAUCCAUGCGAAUGAUGACAACAGACUCUUUACAUAAACAAAAGUUAGUCCGAUUUGAAAGAAACGGUUGUUAUACAAUGGUGUAUCCCAAGUGUGCUCGACAAUGUACUCUAUGUAGACUUUCUAGUGCUUUAAGUUUUCUCGAUGAUAAUACCACUGCCACAAAUCGUACCGCAAUGAGCGAGUACCAACAAUGAGAGUGCUUUGAUAACUAGUGUCGAUACUCUAUAUUAUGAUCCUCCUUGGUACCUCUAUGAUCGCCUGACAUAUACAAGUUAUGUAUAAUUAAGAUGAAUAAGACGGCCGACUGAGUGGCUCUACCCUAAAUCCACAACCAAAUAAGUAACAUGAAUUAAGGCGGAAUCAUUCACUCUAAGUCUGCAAAAUCUUAGCUAUGCACAGCCCUGAUGUACAUACUAAACCAUCAUGGCUCACCUGUACGGAUCCUUAGUUCUCUUAUGAAUGUUGUGACUUGUUCAGACGAGUGAGUUAUUAUAAUUACUUUUAAAUGUUUCCCCAAUUUUUAAUCUUAUAUGAAUAUAAAUUAAAUUUUAAAGCAAUUCUUAUUUCAAAGACGUAUCGUUGGUUGUUGGGGACUCCGAGGUAGUUUCUCCUGCGGUGAUCAUCAGAAUCUGCCCAACCGCACCUAAGCUCUUCGCUAUCGGGCAGUCCUUCUUGUAGUGUCCUGUCUCACCACAGCCAUAGCAGGCCUGGUUUACUUCUACUCCGGGGACUUGGGAGAUCGGUUGUGUCGGUGCCCUGCAGAACUGGGCAGUGUGCCCCUUCCUGUGGCAAUUCAGGCAUUGCAUUUCCCGACAUACUCCAGUGUGGUGGUAGUUACACCCAUCACACUUCGGAGAGUUCCAGUAUAUCGACUGGUAGAUGCUAGAGUAUCAGGUGUUGCGGCGGCGUAUACAGUUACCAUUAGUUUUUCCUGCGGGGUUUCCUGUGUUGUUCGCUUAUUCCUCUUGUUCCCUGACUUUUGUUUAUAGUCCCCUCCCUUUGAUGGCUCGGGGAUAGGGACCACCACGCCAUGGCGGACUCCAUGGUCAAUGAGUCGCUGGGCCAGGCGUUUGGCGCUAUCGAAUGUAGUUGGGUUAGAAGACAAUACAUCUCCUUGAAUCGGGGGAGAUAACCCCCAGAUGUACCUUUCUAUCUUCUUACUCUCCGAGGUAACCAUCCAGGGGCAUAGUGCUGCUAGGUCGCUAAACCUGUCAGUGUAGGUCACUAUGUCUGAGUUGACCAUGGUAUGCUCCCACAUCUCUUGUUCCAGCUUUUGUACUUUGCCCUUGGGCAGUAUUCUUCCAACAUCAUCUCUUUUAGGUUCUCCCAACCUAUGGAGUUAGCCAUUGAUAGGGUUAGUGACUUAACAUGGCUAUUCCACCAUGUUAGGGCUCUGUCAGAGAAGGUGCAGGUAGCAAACUUAAUUUUGCUCCCUUCUAGGCACAUACAAAUUUCGAAGACCGAAUCCGUUUUCUCGAACCACCGCAUCAGAGCGAUGACUCCUCCAUUUCCAUUAAAGGAUUUGGGUUUGCAGUUCAUGAAGUCCUUAUAUGAACACUCCUGUGGGUAUCCGUGGGUAACUCUAGGGUUUGUUAAGUGGCUACCGCUACCGGUUCUGUUGGUACCACUUUCGCUGAUGUGAGCUAAAGAAGUUGUUGCUACAGCUGCUAUCGUUGCAUGGAGAGCAGCAGGAUCGAAUUGUAAUGGUGGAUUUUCUGUUGUGCUAUUGACUACACAUCUUACAGGGCUACCGCGAGGCAUCUUUUGCUAAAAAGAAUACAAAGGUAAGAAGUAAAUAAGUCUAUAGCAGUGGUUAUAAGUCGAAAACUGAAUGACUAAGUUAUCCUAGUUCUGAGUGCAUCUGGUUCUGACUUUGAUAGGGUUCUGGAAACAAUUCAUAAAGAGAGUCUAUAUAAAAUAAACUUUAUGAAUCAGAAGUGGCUAUUCUAGAAUGAAUCUCUUGGAUUGAAUAACUGAUACUGGCGGCAUGAAAAGAAAUAAUCCUAACACAUAGUGUGAGUAGUGUAAUCACUAGCUCAGUAAGUCAAUUAGGGUAAUUAUUUAUUAGUGUGUCGCAUAAGAUGUUUUAGUUUCUUCGGCUGAUCACUUCUUGGAAAACUCUUUUUGAAUCUCUUUUUGUUUCUCCUUGACUCCUCUGCUGACUACUAUGAUGGAGUGGUUACAUCUAUCAGGGUUUGUCGGUCGAGAGUGGAAGUGUCUAAAGAAUCUAUGAGAUUAAAUGUAACAUUAUGGGGUGAUCCUUACUGGGUCCUCCUAUAAUUGCGCAAUAUAUACAAGUUGUAUAUAAUUUAAGAUUAAAUAGACCUUUGAAUAAGUGAGCCUACUCCAAAACCACAACCAAACAAGGAAUGGGAAGUGAAGCGUAGAUCACAAAUUCUAAGUCUAUAAAAUCUCAAUUAUAUAAAACCUUGGAAGUAUACACUCCAGAAUCAUAGACCUACCAGAAGGCUCUUUUAAGUUUUCACAAUAAGUUAUUUAUAGUGCCUAAAAUACUCCUAUAGUAUUUUAAUGUAAUGAACUUGUUAUGUUUUAAACUUGUUGUUGUCUUGUAGUAUCAUAAAAUACUCCCAUAGUAUUUUAACUUUCUGUUCUGAUCUAGAAUUCCCUUGAAUAGAGUUAGGUAAGUUUUAAGACUGUUGCAAUGCCACAUCACUCCCAAAAACAUGUCGGUCAUAUCUCAAAUGAAAAUAGUUGAUCAUGCUCUAUUGAUCCCAGAUAUGAUUACAUAACUGUCCAGGUUUGACCGCAAUGUUCAACCUUUAAAUACUUCCGUUUUGUUCUUCUUGUGAUACUUGUUCUAGUAUGUAUAUAUGUAUAAGCAUGUAUGUAUACUUUUAUAAAGUAUUGUUAUAUUUUUAAAAUAUAUUAUUAUUUAGAUCACUUCGGCCCCAUUGUAUUUAUAGUUGUAUAUCUUUUAUAGGUUAAUAUACUUAGUUCACUAUAAACAAUGCUCUGAUACCAAUCUGUCACACCCUCAAACCAGAACGGCGGAAACGUUCGGGGGCGGAGGACGUCAUGUUUAGUAUCACAACAUAUGCAUCAUAGUAAUCAAAGUAACAAAGAACCAUUGCAUUAAUCUUAAGUGUUUACAAAGUAUGUGGUUGACAAAAGAUAGACUCUAAAAGUAAAUAACAAAACAAGACAUGAAACUACUAUACUCCAUCUUCAGAAUCCCAGUGCGCGUACCUGUCUACUAGUUUCCUGAGAAUACAAGUUAUUUUGAAAGAGUAGAUCAGCAUUUAAGUUGGUGAGUUCAUAAGUAUUUAGGUGAUGAAAAGUAUGUUGUAAGUUCUUAUUAGAAAAGUUCGCCUGUUCCUCCAGAAAAUCCUAUAUUUUCUGAUAUGAUGAAUGAAAGUGAUAAUGACUCUAUAAUUCCUUCUAUGAGUACUAAAUGGAUACAAGUUAUAUACAAUUUAGAGUAAACAGAAAAUCAAUUGUGUGAAUCUUCCCUAAUCCCACAACCAAACAAGGAAUAAGGAAUGAGGCGGAAGUCACACAUCCCAUUGUUUGUUAGAUCUUCACUAUAUAUAACCCUGGCGUAUUCAUUUGGUACUUACGGAGUUAACUGUAAUAGUUCUUUAUAUUUGAUGAAAACAUUCUUUAAGAAAAUCAUAUGUUUCCUUUAGUAAAAAUGGUAACCACAAUAGUUCCUUCUAUAAUCACUUAGUUUAUACAAGCUAUAUAUAAUCUAAUAUCGAACGGACAGUUAAAUGGUUGAAUCUGCCCUAAGCCCACAACCAAACAAGGAACAAGAAGUAAGGCGGAAAGCACACAUCUAACUACAUAUCAGAUAUUAAUUAUAUGUAACCCUGAAGUAUAAACUAAGGUAUUAUAGAAUUAACCACUAAAGGCCCUUUAAGUUAUACUGGUUUAGUAAAAUGAACUAAACCCUUUUACUGAUAAGUUUCUAGUUUAGCCUACUAAAUGUUCUAUCUGAAAAGUAUGUUUUUGUACUAGAAAACGGUGUAUUGAAUUUGUAUCUAAUGACCUGACCCAUACCUGGUACUCCUUAUGAUUACUUGGUGUAUACGGAAUAUAUAUAUAUANNNNNNNNNAUAUAUAUAUAUAUAUAUAUAUAUAUAUAUAUAUAACUAAGAUCGGAUAGAUAGUAGACUGGGUGCAUCUGUUCUAAGCCCACAACCAAACAAGGAACAGGAAAUGAAGCGGAAAGCACACAUUCUACUGUCUGCCGGACUCGAUCAAUAUAUAUCCCUGAUGUAUCUACUAAAAAAAUCAUAAAGUUAGCAUUAUAGGCCCCUUUCUAAAUGAAUGUACCAAGACUCGACUGUAAUGUUUGUCUUUUUGAAAGUUUUCCCAAGUUUAAGACUAUCUUUUCUAGAAAAUAGUUUGAAUUACCUUUUAUGUGAGAAGAUCAUUAUAUGAAUGUAAUGGGAAAAUUAAAGUAUGCAGUAAUGUUGUAUAAAGUAACUACUGAAACACUAACUACCUUAAAACCAGUUUGUUAAUUAAGGUUAAAAUGGCGUUGUGGUUAUAACCAUACUGAUCGACAAGUGUUCAACACACUGUUGGCGUCGAAACUGAUGUGACAUUUGUCACCCCUUUGCCUUCCGACCAAACUAUAGCGAACAGUCGGUAUGCGGGCUUGUCAGUCCCGCAUAGAUCUAUAUACACAAUGUCCGCUCUCCUUCCAGGAGAUCUGGUUACAAAAUGCGACCUAACAAGUAUAUUGCUAAGCCGUGAAGUAGUCUCACGUAAAUGUUAUAUUGUUCUUGUUAUCGUAUGUUCCUUUCUGUUCUUCUUAUUGUAUGUUCCUUUCUGUUCUUGUUAUUGUAUAUUCUGAACCUCUAAACUAUACCUAUUAUAGUUUACUAGUAUGUUUUGUUUUGAACUGUCUCUGAUUUGUAGAAAAGACUCGAUUAUCUAUCGGGUUAUGAUUGUACUUUAAAAACAGAGUUUUAUAAACAAUAAAGUAACAUAACUUAAAAGAGUUUUUGAAAUGAUUUUGAUCACUUAUAAAAGCAUAAGAAAUCCUUUAUUGUGAUGGUUAUCGCAGAUAAACAUUUACACAAUAUCAUUGUGUUCAACUUGUAUUCCCCCCUUAAAAGCAUUUAAAACAUUUAAAAGAUUGAUUAUAAGGGGUAUGAACUCACCUUAUGAGGUUGAUUCAAUUGAAGAUUCGCGUAAGGCAGAAAAGUUCCACGAAUGAAUUCCCGAGACACAAACGAGCGCUAAAUGACAUAUAUUGAUACACAUAUGUAUAUAAAUAGUGUCUAAAACAACUAACAUGGAGGGAAACAACCUUAGAAACUAGGAAUCACUCACAAUGGAGUGCUAGAAUCACAUGUGAUUGAUUGAAGGGAGUUCUCGACCACACUAAGAAGUGUUUACGGCCUUAGAGUGUUCACGACCAAGAACAGAUGAUGUGUUCACGGCCCAAGCAUGAUCAUAUGAAGGGUUUACGGCCAAGGAAGGAUGGUUCAUGGUCCUAUCAAGAAUUUUGAAGGGUUCACGACCACAUGAAGGGUUCACGACCGUGAACUCUUGAAGAUCUUUGACUUAGUUCUUGUUUCAUGGCUAGGAAUUAAGUGUUUCUUAUGGAUAACUAGAUGAUUGAAGAUAUACUCACACUUUGGAAGACUUUAGGGUGUUCAAGGCCCAAGAACAAGUGUGUCCUUGGUGUUCUUGGUGAAAGAUGAUGAUCUUGAAGAUCUAGACCAAAAGUGGUGAAUUGAUGGAUGGAAUCAAAGGGUGUUACUAGAUCAAGAAGGAUAUCAAGAAACAAUGGAAGAAACACUUACAAAUGUUUCGAGAAUUAGAAGUGUUCUUGAUGAUACUUGAGAGAGAAAUGAGUGUUCUUGAGUUGGAAUUGUGAGAAAUGAUGAAAAUUGAAGGGAUAUCAUCCUUAUGGAAGGAUUUCACGGCUAGGAGGGUUUUUACGGCCGUAAAUAGAGUGUACGGCCAUAAACCCCAUGUGGUUGGCUUUCUGGUUCGGGUGCAGCCUUCUGAUCUCAAGCUAAUACUUCCUAACACUCAAUCCUUAAGUGUACUAGGCUUAGAACUCAUUAUAAUGACCCUUAACUAUUGGAUAUAGUGUCUAAGCACAUAACUAUAUUUGGUAUAUACUUGACCCGACCCGGCAUGGUCCAUUUGGGUUGCACUUCACCCGAACAAUUUAUGGAUAAUAUUUGAGAAUAGUACAAGUUAUGAUUUAUUAAUAUAUUAUAAGUUCUAAUAUAUUAUUAUAAGAUCAUGUUAUUUAAUUAGUAGUGAUCUAUAAUUAAUCUAGGAUUAAUUUAGUGAUCAAAGAUAUUACUAGUUAAAUAUGGGCUUCUAUAUUUAUAUAGUGUGGGCUUAUGCUUAUUUGGAAUGGGCUAGGCUUGGAUGGAGAAGUCCAUGGAUACUCCAUGGAGCUUUAACCCAUGGAUCUCAUGGAAAUGAAGAGACAUGGGUAUUAGGGUUUACAUGGAUGUAACCCUAAUCCACCACACUAUAUAAAGGAGGCUUUGGCUCUUGAAAUCACACUAGUUGACACAUGUUGAGGUGAGGGCCGAUUUCAAGAGAAGUGUGACUAUUCUCUCAAAGUUCCAAGUUUGUGGUGAUUUGUGACUUUCAUUUGAGGCAUCCACAUUAUUGGUGCUAGGCUCUAAAACUCCAAGGAAUCAACUACAACUACAAGGUAAGUGUUUCUACUAGCUUUAUUUGAUUCAAGUUCCCCAUGCCAUGCUAGUUAGGAUAUAAGCCUUGGAAAAAUAAUUAUUUGCAUGUAUCUUAGACAAACAUAGAUCCAAGGUUUAUUAGGGUUGCAUGUACACUUAGGAAGUGUUAGAAUGCUCAAAACCCAUCAGUGGUAUCAGAGCCUAGGCUUGUUUGUUUGAUACUUGUUGCAAUAUGCUUGAAAAAGUCGAAAUCUUGCUGUCUGACUGAUGGACUCGCCGAGUCCAUGGGGGGACUCGCCGAGUCCACUUGUAUCUUCAACCUACUCGCCGAGUAGGUUCAUGCACUCGACGAGUAGGGUCGACAGAGUGCAGUUUUUCGACUUUAGUUGCUGGAAAUGGAUUAGAAACAUUACCCUAAACUGUUUUGGUACUUGAAAACUUGUUUUAGAAGGUGUAAUGUCUUUUCUAACUCAUUUACAACAACUAGUUAUCAAAAUUACAAAGAUUAAGUGUGAUUUUGAUAUAUGAAAGUGUUCAUGUUCAUGAUCUUGUUCUUAUGAUGUUUAGAUGAUCAUAGGAAUUAUUUGUAACCUAUGUGGUAGAUUAAUUCUUGAUCAUAAUGUUAUUUAAUGGAGUCCAUAACUUGUCCUCAAGUUAUGGAAAACCAAAAGUCUCUUGGAUUGAAAACCAUUAAAAGAACACAAGAGUUAGAAAAAUGAAGAGUCUUCAUUUUAUUACUCUAUUAAACUCAUAAGUUACAAGAUAUGAAAAGUUUUGAAAGUUUACAAAACUUGCCCUCAAGUUUUGGAACAAGUAAAGUCAAGUUAAAACUUUAGUUCCAACCCUUAGAAUUUUAAAAGUUAAAAUUCAACCCUUAUACUUAUAUUAUUAUGAUUUAAUAAUUAUAUAUAUAUAUAUAAGAACAAAGUCGUCUUACCGCUAGUACGCCUCAUUCACGAAGCCGGUCUAUAAGGUGGGUAUAAGGUUGUUGCCUAUAAAAUGGUGACUUAAUGGGUGUCCACUCUCACCCACCGCUUGCUUGACCGGUGGAGGGUCGUUAGCCGAACGGGUAAGACAAGGACUUAUAAAUUCUCAUUCAAAGUAUGAUGAAUAUUAUAAAGUAACUAAAUGUUUUAUUAAAUUCCCAAUCUUAGUUACUUUAGGAAAAAUGUGAAUAAGGUGCUAUUCCAUGAAAUUACACUUUACACUUUGAUUAAGUCGUUGGUGGAGCGUGUGUGGUUAACCGGCACACUAACUUGGACUUAACAAGGUAGGUAAAGGGUGACUUAGGGUUUAUUAUAGUAUCGAUGGAGCGUGUGUGGUUAACCGGCACAUCGAUUGAGUGAUAAACUUUAAGGGUACCAAGUGAUUUGCAUGGUUACUUCACACCUCGUUUUGUGAUCCUCGGUAUCCCAGUCACAAAACUUGGAGGGCACACUCGAGAUUGAAACAUGCCUUUGAAAAGUUCAUUGAAUCUCAAAGAAUCUAGGAAUUUCUAAGAACCAUUCAAAAACCUAAUACUAAAAUAUUGCGGUUUUCGUGGUGGAAAUUGGUGAAUCGUCAUUCACCUACCUUUCAAAUAUGAUAUAGCUUAGAUUACGGCAUACCUCUUCUAAGUUAUAUUAUAUUGUGAUUGGAUCCUAGCCUUAAUAUUACAUUUGGGUGUUUUAUUAAGGACUCUCUUAUAUCUAAACUAAUCUUGUCCUCUUUCCUUCAGAUGUCUUUCAACAAUGCUUCUGGCUCUAAUCCUAAUGGCUCCUUUACCCUUAUGAACUUGUGUGGGAAAGUCACCUUUGAUGGAUCCAACUUCAAUGAGUGGAUCAGAAACAUCAGGAUGAUUACCCGCUACGAGGACAAAGAAUAUGUCCUUGACAAGGAGCUUAAGGAGAUUGAUGAGUCCACUGCAACUCCUCAGGAGAUCGCUGAAUUUCGGGCACAUGAAAGGGAUGCUACGAAAGUGGCUUGCAUCAUGAUGGCCACGAUGACAGCGGAACUCCAAAAGUCUUAUGAGGAUUUCUACCCUUAUGAAAUGCACCAAGAUUUGAUGGAAAGAUACCAUCAAAGUGCAAGACAAGAGAGGUAUGAAAUCAUCUGCUCCAUGAUAACAACCAUGAUGAAGGACGGGGAAUCCGUCACGAGCCACAUGCAGAAAAUGCAAAGGUAUGUGGAUCGUUUGCUGAAGCUUAAUGUGAACUUCCCGGAGGAUCUUGCAAUAGAUAUUAUUUUGCAUUCCUUACCAUCGUGCUAUGAUCAAUUCCGCAUGACAUAUCACAUGAACAAGGAAGAAGUCACCCUCAGCAAACUUCAGGGACUUCUCAAGACCGCAGAAUCAGGUCUUAAGGGGAAGUCGGUUGCUAUCACUCCUACUCAAAACUCUACUCCGGUUUUGGCAAUCGGGAAAAGUCGAGGGAGGAAGAGAAAGAGCUCUUCUAAGGGUACCAAGGUUCGGACCCUUGAUGGCUCUUCUUCAAGUGGAACCAAGAAAGGUUUCAUUACUCCUUCUUCUGACCCAAAAGAGGCUGAAUGCUUCUAUUGCCAUGAAAAAGCUCAUUGGAAGCGGAACUGCCCAAAAUACCAGCAAGAUGUGAAGGAUGGGAAAGUUAAACCCAACCAUGCAGGUAUUUACACUAUCAUUUCUAAUAACUCACCCCAUUCUAAUUCUUGGGUCCUUGAUACCGGGUGUGGUAUUCACAUUUGUUGUGACUUGCAGGGACUAAGAAGAAGUGAGGAUGUGGAGCAAGGAAGGAUAAACUUGAUCAUGGGGAAUAGGAAAGCUAUACCUGUUACCAAGAUUGGAGUUUAUACUUUAUCGCUAAGUAGUGGGUUUAGUUUAGAUUUGAAUAAGUGUUGUUAUUCGCCAGGAAUGGCAAGAAAUAUUAUUUCCUUUCAUGCUUUGUACAAACAAGGGUUUACCUUUUCAUUUAAUAAUGAAGUUGGUUCUAUAGAUGUUUUCUAUAAUAAUGUCUUUUAUUUUAAAGCAUUACCUUGUGAUGGUGUGUAUGAAGCUGUAUCUGUUGUAGAUAACUUGGGAAAUAAUGUUUUGUGUAUUGAUUCUACUAAUAAUAACUUGGAUAAAGCAUCUUUAUGGCAUUGUCGUCUUGGACAUAUAAGCAAGAAACGCAUAGGCCAACUCCAAAAGGAUGGAGUCUUGGAGUCGUUUGACCUAAAGUCAGAUGAUAGUUGCGAAUCAUGCUUACUUGGAAAAAUGACAAAGUCACCCUUCACAGGUUCGUGUGAGAGGGGUGAAGGUUUGUUGGACCUUAUACACACGGAUGUGUGUGGACCAUUCAAACAUGCCACAAGGGAUGCUAAUCGUUAUUAUUUGACUUUUACUGAUGAUUAUAGUAGAUAUGGAUAUGUCUACUUGAUCAAGCAUAAGUCAGAGACUUUCGAGAGGUUUAAGGAAUUUAAACAGGAAGUCGAGAAUCAAUUGGGCAGGAACAUUAAGAUGCUUCGAUCCGAUCGUGGUGGUGAGUAUCUUAGUUCAGAGUUCCUCGACUAUCUAAGGGAAUGUGGGAUAGUCUCACAAUUGACACCUCCCAGGACACCACAGUUGAAUGGUGUGGCUGAGAGGCGUAAUCGAACCUUGUUAGAUAUGGUUCGUUCCAUGAUGAGUCGAGCUACGCUACCAAUCUCAUUCUGGGGGUAUGCCUUAGAGACUGCCGCCCAUAUUCUUAAUCUAGUCCCUACAAAGAAAGUUGCCAAAACUCCUCACGAGAUGUGGACUGGUAAAGUACCUAAACUAGACCACAUCAAGAUUUGGGGUUGCGAGGCUUUCGUGAGACGCGAGACUCAUGAUAAGCUCGAACCUCGAAGCGAGAGGUGUAUUUUCAUCGGUUACCCACAGCGAUCCUUUGGUUACCUCUUCUACAGACCUAGUGACAAUGUGGUCUUUGUAGCAAGAAGAGGAGUCUUUCGAGAAAGAGAGUUUAUAAGCCAAGGAGACAGUGGGAGGCAAAUUGAUCUUGAAGAAAUUCAAGAAUCAAGCGGUGAAGGAACUUCAAACUCUAGCCCUCAACUUGAGGAGGAAACUCCUGUUGAGCCAAUUGACAAAUCUGUACCUCUGAGACGUUCCACGAGAGUUAGGAGUGCACCUGAGCAUUACUAUGGAUUCCAUAUUACUGCAGAAGGUGAGACACUUAUUAGUGAUGAGACACUAGUAAGUCAAGAUGACCCUAACAGCUACGAGGAAGCCAUGGCAGGCCCCGAGUCUGCUAAAUGGAAAGAGGCUAUGGAUAGCGAGAUACAAUCCAUGUAUGACAAUCAAGUUUGGAACUUGGUUGAAAAUGUACCAGGUCGUAAGACAGUAGGGUGCAAAUGGGUCUUCAAGAAGAAGACCGACAUGGAUGGUAAAGUACACACUUAUAAGGCUAGACUGGUUGCAAAGGGCUUCUCUCAAAUUCCUGGAGUGGAUUAUGAUGAGACCUUUUCUCCGGUAGCCAAGAUUAAGUCUAUUCGGGUUCUGUUAGCCAUAGCUGCAUUUCAUGACUAUGAAAUAUGGCAGAUGGAUGUCAAAACCGCUUUCCUUAAUGGAAAGUUGGCUGAAGAUGUUUACAUGAGUCAGCCAGAGGGUUUUGUCAGCAACGAGUACCCUAAUAGAGUGUGUAAGCUUGAGAAAUCCAUUUAUGGAUUGAAGCAAGCACCUCGCAGAUGGAAUCUUUGCUUUGAUGAAAAGGUCAAGGAAUUUGGCUUUUCUAGGAGUGAAGAUGAAUCUUGUGUGUAUGUCAAGGCUAGUGGGAGUAUAGUUAGCUUUUUGGUAUUGUAUGUGGAUGACAUACUACUCAUAGGAAACGACAUUCCAACCCUGCAGGAAGUAAAGUCCUGGCUUGGGAAGUGUUUCGCUAUGAAGGACCUUGGUGAAGCUGCCUAUAUUCUAGGGAUAAGAAUCUUGAGAGAUCGGAGUAAAAGACUAAUUGGACUUAGUCAGAGUACCUACUUGGAUAAGGUGCUGAAGAGAUUCAGCAUGCAGGAUUCCAAGAAAGGAGAGUUACCCAUCCAGAGUAACACCAGAUUGAGUAAGACACAAAGCCCUAGCACUGAGGCUGAGAUAGCAGAAAUGAGUCGAACACCUUACGCUUCGGCUGUAGGAUCGAUCAUGUAUGCUAUGACGUGUACUCGACCCGAUGUAGCUUUUGCCUUGAGCAUGGUUAGCAGGUAUCAGGCGAACCCUGGCAAGGCACACUGGACUGCGGUAAAGAAUAUCCUCAAGUACCUACGGAGGACUAAGGACUGGGUCCUUACCCUCGGUGGGAGUGAUGACUUGAGAGUUGUAGGGUAUAGUGAUGCUAGCUUCCAGACUGAUAGGGAUAAUUUCCGCUCUCAGUCGGGCUGGGUCUUUACCCUAAACGGAGGAGCAAUUUCUUGGAAGAGUUCCAAGCAAGAGACAGUGGCAGAUUCUACUUGUGAAUCAGAGUAUAUUGCAGCUAGCGAAGCAGCAAAGGAGGCGAUAUGGCUGAAGAACUUCAUUGGAGACCUUGGAGUUGUACCAGCUAUUAAAGAGCCAAUGGAAAUUUUCUGUGAUAGUGAAAGUGCUGUUGCCUUAGCCAAGGAACCAAGGGAUCAUGGGAGAUCCAGACACAUCGACAGAAAAUACCAUUUCAUUAGACAUCGGAUCGAAGAAGGACUCCUCGUGGCAAAGAGGGUAUCAUCGGAUGAGAACCCAGCAGAUCCCCUCACGAAGGGACUGAGUAGGGUUAAGCAUCUCCAGCAUGCUCGGAGCAUAGGGCUGAAGGAUGAUAUAAGUUUUAGUAGUUAGAUAACCCAGAAAUUUGUAAAGUGUAAUUGACAUUUGAUGAUGAAUAAAAGGUGUUUUAUUUAUGAGUAAAGUGUUGCUAUCUCUUGUCAAUCGUUUACUAUAUUUCUUUUGCAUGUUUUGACUUCCAGAAUAAUUUUGUUUGGUGUAACAUAUUAUUCAAACCUCCACAGUCGGUCAUAUGUCGGAAGUAGGUAUGAAUCAAGACUGUCAUGAUGGGUUGUAGAGGUCUAAGGUGUUGGACAAGGCUACAACAAUCAUGAGUGCUCAUAAGUUCUGAGCAUUGGACUCAACCCACGCUCACUGGAAUCACUUCAUGGAAUUCUAUCUCGAGUGAUCGUGAGACGGUAAUAUCAUAUAAGUCUUCAAACCUAGAGAUAUGAUUUGUUACUUACAAGUUGGUUAUGCAUUGACUGUACGAAACCGCAUUGGUAACUCGAUGUUAUAAAACGUACUUUUGUGUGUAAUUCAAUGAGUGGUAGAACAAACAUAUGAGUCGAAGUUUAUCUGUUCCUUCUUGGAUUAGAAGCUGAUAUCUGGGCCCCUCGAUGAUUUUGUUUUGACCCAUGUACCGGGCCCGGUCAGAACUAAGUUGAUGUGUUCAAUUAAGUUCUAUGUCAAACAAAUCGGAAAUCGGGAAACAAAUGCUGGACAAUAAGCAAGACAAUGUUCCAUGUAUUUGUCCGGCUGAUAUCUAGAACGGAGGAUUAUAUGAUCACUUAUCUUAAAUGGCGUACCAUCAUCUUCUCAGUUCCGAGAGACCUUGAAAGAGCUACGAUUGCCGGUCGGUUCCUGAAGUACUAGAGAUAUAGUUAUUAGACUUAUCCAAGUGGGAGACUGUUGGAUAAGGUGUCUAAGUCCAUAACUAUUUCGGGCUUGUACUUGACCCGACCCGGCAUGGUCCAUUUGGGUUGCACUUCACCCGAACAAUUUAUGGAUAAUAUUUGAGAAUAGUACAAGUUAUGAUUUAUUAAUAUAUUAUAAGUUCUAAUAUAUUAAUAUAAGAUCAUAUUAUUUAAUUAGUAGUGAUCUAUAAUUAAUCUAGGAUUAAUUUAGUGAUCAAAGAUAUUACUAAUUAAAUAUGGGCUUCUAUAUUUAUAUAGUGUGGGCUUAUGCUUAUUUGGAAUGGGCUAGGCUUGGAUGGAGAAGUCCAUGGAUACUCCAUGGAGCUUUAACCCAUGGAUCUCAUGGAAAUGAAGAGACAUGGGUAUUAGGGUUUACAUGGAUGUAACCCUAAUCCACCACACUAUAUAAAGGAGGCUUUGGCUCUUGAAAUCACACUAGUUGACACAUGUUGAGGUGAGGGCCGAUUUCAAGAGAAGUGUGACUAUUCUCUCAAAGUUCCAAGUUUGUGUUGAUUUGUGACUUUCAUUUGAGGCAUCCACAUUAUUGGUGCUAGGCUCUAAAACUCCAAGGAAUCAACUAAAACUACAAGGUAAGUGUUUCUACUAGCUUUAUUUGAUUCAAGUUCCCCAUGCCAUGCUAGUUAGGAUAUUAGCCUUGGAAAAAUAAUUAUUUGCAUGUAUCUUAGACAAACAUAGAUCCAAGGUUUAUUAGGGUUGCAUGUACACUUAGGAAGUGUUAGAAUGCUCAAAACCCAUCAUUAACAAGGCUAGAAGGCAAUAGAAUUAAGUUUGAAUUUUGGUUGAUUGAAUUGACUUUACAAGACAAAACGUUGUGUCUGAGGACAUAUUUUUGGAGGUUCAUUCUUUCAGAUGAGUUCUAAUAGUUGUUUAAGCGGUGGGUCAUUGGUGGGAUGUGACCUUUUCGUUCCUUGUGAGUUUCGACCGGGAUCGAUUAGUGAAUCAGAAUUUGUAAAGUGUUCUUAGAGUCUGUUAUUCGAAGAGCGAUUAACAUGAUGAUAUUUUGCAAGGGUGGUCUGGCAAUGAGAUAGACCGUUAGAGUUUUCAAGUUCUGGAGAGACAGAUCAAGUACCUUAGCGGCAGAAGGGUCUGUCCUUCUUCGGGGUCGGGAGAUCAUGUUGGGUUCAGGUGUCUUUGGAAGAGAUUGUUGUAUGAUAUGAGGUCCUUUCGGUGGUUCUUCUCGGGUUAUUGGGUUCGAUUUAUGUGUUGAUAAGGAGUGAUUUCGAGGGCGAAAUCUAAUUCAAGCGGGAGAGAAUUAUAACAUCCUGUUUCAGAUCGUCCGUGAUUAGGGUUCGUGGGUUACAACCCGGGCAUGAGGAAGCCUCGGGGCUGCGACGAGUUGCUAGAAGCGUAGGGCUUCUCGUCACAUUUUUGUGGAUAUGAGGUUCAUUGGAAAUGGAGUUAUAUCUAGGAAUCUAUGGAAGUUUGAAGUUUUGUCUAGAUAGGUCCCUUAUUUGAGAAAGGUGGCAACUGAGUACGCUGGGCGUAUGUGUGCGUACGCUUAGCAUACUCAUGUGCGUGACUUUUAAGCGGAGCCACCUAGUACGUUAGGAGUACCAUAGGGUACGGUGGGCGUACUAGGCACAGAGUGAAAACCCUAAAUGAGGGGUUGUCCCUAUAUAAAGAAUAAGGUGGCCUCAUUCCUGGCCACCAUCCUCAGACAAUCAACCCUCUCAAACCCUAAUCCUUUUUUUUUGAGCUUGUGUGUGUCCAUUUGAGAGCAUUUAAGUGAUUCUGUGUGUUCUUUGUAGUGAAGAAGGUGCUUUGAAGAAGAAGGAGUGGGAGUCCAGGUUAUAGAUCUGAGCAUAUAUGUGUUGGGAGCUUCAUUUGGAGGUAUAAAGCUCAAAGCUUUCUCACUCUUUUGUUUUGUGCAUCAUGUUAGACCAUUUUAGGGUUUUAGUCCCAAAGUUGCAUGCUUUAUGAGAAAAUGAGUUCUAGAGAUUAUGAGCAGCUCCUUUAAGUGUCUUUAGGAGUAUAGCGUCAUAAAAAUCAAGACUUGGACGUUUGAAUCAACCCAUGCAUGAGAUAUGAGCAUUUUGAGAUAAGAGAAUGAGAGUUUUGGGUGUUUGUGACUUUAUCAGCCAUGCAAAGGCUUAAAGCCACAGACUUUAUGGAGUAAGAGCCUCUAGGGAGUCCAAAUUUGUGAUAUGAGCUAAGGUCUUAACGGGUUAAGACCAAGAAAGUGAGAAAAGCCAUACUGGAUGUACGCCGAGCGUAAUCCUAGUACAUCCCGUGUACUGGGUUGGGGUCCCCGAUCAUAUUUUGUGCAUGCUUAUGUACACUGAGCGUACCAAGGGAGGUAUGCCCUGAGUAACCUCGUUGUGGGCUUUUUGGGCUAAAUCUUAUUUUGGGUCUUAAGGGUUGGGCCUGGAUCUUUGGGCUUGUGUACUAGAGAUUUUGAUUAGAGAGAUAUUAUAUAUAUGCCUUGGGCCCUUGUGUUGGGCUUGUCGCUUGGACUUAAGAGUUGGGCCUCAAGAGAGCCCAUUCAUUAUUGGGCCUUGGUGGGCCCAAUGAGUUUUAGGUUAUUGAUGGGCUAGUUAGUGGACUACCUUUAGACCUAAAGAGUGAGGAUUUGGACUUAGAUCUUAAUUGGGUAAUUGUGGAUUUUGGUCCAGUGUUAGAGGUCGGUGCGGCAACAACAUCUAUAGGAGUUGUUCAUCAUCCAAGGUGAGUCAUCUCACUAUACUUUACCUAGCGUGGUAACCUUUGUGUGAUUGGAGGGUCUUAUGUGCCUAUAUUGAGUAUUGUGAUAUCCUGCAUUAUGUCUUUGUGAUUUAUGUUGUGUAUUAUUCUGAGUUUACUGAGUUAGGACCUGAGGGUCCACCCAAGUUUUGCGACCGGAGGGUGUCCCAUUGAGACACAUUGACCGGAGGGUCUUAUCAGAGUAUAGCCAUGAGAGGCUAAUGAGAUAUGUGUGGUAUUUUGGGGAACUCACUGAGCUUCGUGCUUACCGUGUUAUGUGAUAUGUGUUCUAGGUUCUUCUCAGGAUCGCGGGAAGGCGCCGAUUUGAUUUUACACACCAGAGAAAGAGUUGUGUUUUGAGGAUCCUGGAUUAUUAAUCAAACAAUUAUGGAGUUGCGUUUUGUAAAUUAAAUAAAUGGGAUUUUUUAAAUGUGUUGUGAGAAUUAUGUGAUUUUAAAAUGAAAAUUUUUGUUUAAAAAUUUACGGUGUUACAUCCACAUUCUUCAAGAGUGUUCCAUUUGACUGCAAAAUAUAAUUUAAUUCAGUAAGUAUCACAUAUAUUUGCAAUUAACCAAAAUAUUAGUUAAAAUGUAUUAAAAUAUCGCCUAAAAUUUUGUAUAAAUAUGGAAUAUUAGAGAUAGUGGUUGAAUCCAGCUCAAGUGGGCAUCUUCAAAAUUGUUGGUGGUUGGUUGAUCUUGUAAGACUGAAAAUUUGGAAUGCAUGUCUUUUAUGCUCUUAUUAGGACUCCAAAUUUCACACAUCAAGUGGCAAUUACAUCGUAUCACUUAUCGGUAAUUUGGAAUAAGAAUUUUCACAGUUAUUGGGAAGAUUGUUCGUGUUUCUGAUGAAUGAUCGUGGCACAAAUACGCAUAUUUCGUGUUGCAAUACUAAUCUAUGUUGUUUCACCACGAACUAAAAUUGACUCGAGUCAUGUCGGCCAAACACACAUCCCAUCUCUCGUGCAUGCUUCUUCCUUUUGUAGUUUUUACUAAGUAAUAUUCAACUCCUUUCUUAUAUGUGUUGGUGACCCCAUACUUAUUUGAUGCAACGCUUAAAAAUCUAUUCAUUAUAGAAUUGCACUUGAUCCUAACAGUUGAACUUAAUUCUAGUCACUCACCAACACUUCUGCACAAGUAUGAAAAUUAAGAGAAUAAUCGUACUAUAAUAUUUACGAAUGGCAAGAAGCUGCUUUGAUUGGGGUAUCUGGACAUUCNNNNCGCAUGACAUUCAUUUAUGUUUAUCUUUUGUGUUUUGUUUUCAGAACAAGAACUUAGAUCCUGCAUUUGAUGAUGUUUUUGUUAUACUAUGUUUUAUGUUGUUAUGGAUCAAAACCCUGUUUUUAGAAAUGACAUUCUCCGAUUUGAAAAAAUGGUAUUAUGGAUGUUACAUUUGCCCCUCUUUAACCAUCCAACCAUACUUCUACUUUUUCAUAUGCUCAUUUACUUUUUGAUCACUAUGUUAAUUAUUAACAACUACAACUCACACCUUCUGCAUAUAUAAAUUGACAUUUGUAAUUAAAUGUCUAAUUAGUUAUUACUACUUUUCAUGCAUUGCACACAUACUAAACCAUUUAGUAUAUUACAUAAUGUUUAUACUAUUAUUUCGAAAUAUGGUGUUAUAGUACUAGAAACUGUUUUCAUGAUCUAGCAUACGUUAUAUAGUAUUCGCCACUAACGUUGAUAAAUGGGCAUGUGCGUUGAAAUGAAGAUGGGAUGUUCACAGGUAGGAGUGUUAGAAGUUAUAUCGAUGAUGCUAGUGGUACUAGAUGGUGUAAUUUAGUCCUUAUAAAGACUAAUGUCUUACUUUGGCGGAAUUUGUUGAAUAGGCAUCCUAUUAGGGAGAAUCUGGUACACAGAGGUGUUGAUGUUCAUACGGGUCCUUUUCCUUCGUAUGAUCUGUAUUCGAAAGAUAUCGGACAUGUGUUCUUGGGUUGUGAGGUGGCAGAUUAGAUUUGGUUGAAGAUUGUGAAGUGGUUGGAUCUCUUCUUUCUGUAUGUCAUUAAUGUGUAUGAGCUUAUAUUACGGGUGGAUUCGGUGAGAAUGACUCUAAUGAAGAUAUUAGAUUUAGAUGCGAUUGUCAUUUCUUUGAUCGUGGAUGCUUUGGAGGUAGAUAAAUAGUGUGUUGUGGCUUUCCGGUCUCAUAGUAUAAAAAAGUAGUAUUUUUAACAACAUAAUGAUUACUUAUUUUGAUUGGUUUUCCAACAGGAAAAAUAAAGUUAGCAUUAUUUUGACAUUGUGCAAAAACCUAAUUUUCAAUAUUUGCUUGUAAUUGUUCGUUCAUUCUAGCUCUUUGCUAGUUGAUCGUUCUUAAUUAUUUAGUUAUCAUAAAUAGAAUAUCCUUUUUAACCAGUAAACCUGAAAUUUUUUUAACACUUUUUUGUAUAUUUCCAAAAAUAUAACUACAAUUAUAUCUAUGUUUCAUAUAGUUUUUUAAUCUAUUAAAGAUUACCUUUUUCGUUAAACAGUGAAUUGAUAUGCCUCCUUUUUGGCCCUAUCAUGAGAUGCUCAUUAUCAACAAACAACCAAAUGCACAACAUGCGUACAAAUAAAAGUUAAAGUAGAUCAAUUCCACCAAGGGCGAAUUACCAAAACAGUCCUUAGAUAUACACAAUCUUACGUGGCACAUCUUCACGUGCAUCCUGACGAAUAUUAACAUAUCCUGACAUUGGAUUAAAAUUUUAUAAUUUUUAUUUUUUUAAAGAGAAAAAAAACACACACAUAGUGCACCGUCAAGUAACGGUAAAUAAUGAACCGGGAACACAAUACGACGUCGUGGUACUAGCAUACACGCAUGAGCGGCGAUCCACACAGGCAGUCAUUGUUGGUAAAUGAUGACGCUUCAAGGUGAUCAAAUGGGAAUCCCAUCGGAAUCGAACCACAGAGAUGGUUGUUGCUGAGGUCCAAAUGUCCGAUGUACUUUGCCGACGACAGAGAUUUCGGUAUCGCGCCUUUCAAUUUGUUGAAUGACAAGUCCAGCACGGAGAAGUACGUCCGUGGAGUGAAAACGUCUGGCAAGUAGCCGUCGAGAGAGUUUCGGCUCAGAUUCACUAUGUUUAGACCAGUGUUGCUUAGUAGACUUACCGGAAUUUGUCCGGUGAGUUGGUUGCUGUCUAAAUUGAGUGUCGAGAGGACAGGCAUUGAACCGAGUUGAGCAGGAAUUGAACCGGAGAUCCUGUUCAUCGACAGAUCUAAAUCUGCGAGACGGUAAAUGCCGGCGAUUGAGCUUGGAAUGCUACCUGAAAUUUGGUUACGGUUUAAAAGAGCUCUGCUCAUCAUCGAUAGCUUUCCGAGAUCCGCAGGGAGUACGCCGGUGAUCUGAUUGUUGCUCAGAUCUAGGUGCAUUAGCCUCGCGAGGUUCACAAUGGACGAUGGGAUCUCACCGCUGAUUUUGUUGUCAGCGACGUUCAGAACAGUUAAUUUCCCUAACUUUCCGAUGUCGGCAGGGAGUUUUCCGGUGAGCUGGUUCCCGAUGAGGUCUAGGAUGCGGAGGUGAGGGAGAGAAGUUAUACACGCCGGUAUCUCACCAGAAAUCCCCUUCCAGUCGGCGACAACAAGCGUUGUAAGCCGGUCCAGCGAACAUAGAGAAGGAGAGAGUGAACCGGUCAUGUACCCAGACCGGCCGGCCUUCUCGAAAAUCUUAUCUUCCGACUCGCCACGUAGUACAACGUCAUUGACCCGACUGUCAGUCGGGUCGCAGCUGAUUCCAUACCAGUUACUGCAGCAGUCUGUGCCGGUCCAGGUCUUGAAGAUGCCCAAAUAAGGCUCAUUCAAGGCGGACUUGAACGCCAACAAUGCUUCCCGGUCCGACGGCGGGCAUGAGUUGACGACGGUGGAGCUAAAGACGGCGACUAAUAAUACCACCACCAGAUAUACACCGGUAAAUUUCAUUUCCUCUCUCUUUAGUUUUACCUCCCAAUGCUUUAAUGCAGUCCAGUACUAGGGUGAGUUUAAGAAGGGUGCAUUUGUUUUUUUGAGUGUGGAGGAGCUAUAUAUAAGUUCAGAACAAAUAUGCCCUUGAAAUUAUGGUAAAUUACGAUUAAGGGACUAUGGGACAGUUGAUUGGUCAUUAUUGUCGUGGGGUGGAAAUACCACGUGACCGGUAACACCAUUCUUAGCUGGACCGACCUGAUCUACACUCCCAAAAUUUGAACUAAUUUAUUUUGUAAAAUACAUCUUCAAAAUUACUUUAAUAACAUUUAUUUUGUAAUUUGAGAAAUUGUUUUUUGGUUUUGUAAGGUUGUAUAAAAAUUUUAUGUUAGUAUUUAAUUAUCUUUACACAUAAUGACUUCAAUAAUAGUAAUAUAUUUUUUGACUCGUACAUAUUUUAUUAUUAAAUUUUUUUUCGUUCAUAUUUAUCUUUCAACUUGUUAAAGUGUAUAAAUUCCGUCUUUAUAACUGGUUAAUAUUUCUCAUUUUGUAUAUAUUAUUUUAAUUUUUUUACACAUUUAAUCCUUAAUAUAUAUUUUUUGCAAAAUAAGCUAUUUUUAGUUUUGUAUACAUUAGUACUUCUAACUAAUUUCUUUAGUUUUUCUUACAUCUUAUGUGAGACAAUUAUCAAUGAAGUAUUUGGGGCUGUUGAUGCUUAUGUUCAUCUCAGCCUCGACUGCCUGCUUGUUUAGGUUUUGUGGUUUGACUUAGGUCUUGCGUAUUGAAGAUCGUAAGUUUUUCAUACAAUCUCUAAUUUUAACAAUCUUUAUAUCAAUGUGUUUGUAUUUUAGUCGACUACAAAAUUCGUUUAGAUUACUCUUGUUAAAAGUAAUAUAUUUUUUUACUUACGAUCUUUCUAUCCAUAUGUUUUUAAUACAUGUAUUAAUGUUUUUUGUGAAUACGUUUUCACAAUCUUUAUAUCCAUAUGUUUUUUUAUAAAUACAUGUAUCAACGACCAAAUGUAUAAAUAUCGAAAAAAAUUAAUUAUAAAUAGUUAAUAGAGAUUAUGUUUUAAAAUGUCAACCAAUAACAGACAACUUGUUCUUUAGGUCAUUAAACUUUUAAUUGUACCCACUAAAGAAAACAACUUUUUAUUUUGGUUUUAAAAUACUCGUGAUUACGAUUUUUUAUUGAUACAAAUGAAAACGACGUCAUUACCCUUGUCAUAUCUAACUAAAAGUCUAUUGUAAUCAUUUUUCUCAAACAACAAUCGAUAACCAUUAGCUACGCCAUAUUGUUUUGUCACCUUGCAUUUUUAAUAGGUAAAAAACUAUAAAGUUAAAGUUAUAGUUUGACAAAAAUAAUUAUAAUAGGCUAUUAAUUUGAUGUGGAAAGAGCAAUAACAACGUUUGUUGUCAUGUUAAUCGAUAAAAAAACAUAAUCAAUGGUAGUUUAAACCAAAAUAAAAAGUUGGUUUUCUAAUUUGAUACAACUAAAAGUUUAAUGACCUAAAAAGCAAAUUAUGGGUUAUUGGUUGUCAUUUUGUAUCAUUUUCGCUAGUUAAUAAUAUGUUGACUUUUCAUUAAAGAUGUCAAUGAAGUGUCUAUUUAGCCACACCCAACACCCGUGAAUAGGGAUGAGCAUCGAAACCGGGUACCCGUUUUUGGAACCGGAACCGCCUCGGAACUGCCGGUUUUGGAACCGGAACUGCCUUAGGCGGUUCCGGUUCCGGUUCCUAAAGUUAUGGAACUGCCUUAAGCGGUUCCGGUUCCGGUUCUCGUUUUUUCAGAACCGCUACCCGCUGGGUACCCGCCGGAACCGGUUAAUAUAUAUAUAUAUAUUAUCUCAUAUAAAUAUGUGUGUUACUUAGACCAAUUUAGAAUAUAUAUUGGUCCGGUUUUGUCCGUCUUUGGUCCGAAUUGACUUGAUUUGAAUCGAACUAAAUUGCGGUUUUAUCGACAAAAGUUAACAAAAUUAAUGUAACCGGGUUACCCGCUCCCGGAACCGGAACCGCUGGUUCCGGGACUGGUUCCAAACAUUUAAGAAUUGCCUAUAGCGGUUCCGGUUCCGGUUCCGGUUCUCGCCAAAUGAGGCGGGUACCCGCCUAUGCUCAUCCCUACCCGUGAAGGGUGAGUAAACAAAAAAAUUUAUAAGUCAGAGUUUUUUUCGUAAGCAAAAGAAAAAUCAUAUAAAAUCUUUUUUUUCAAGAUGAAUGAGAACAAUAAAUAAAUGAGGACAAUGCCAUAGAAUUUUUUUGUAAAGCAAAACAAAAAAUAUAUAAAAUCUUUUUUUCAAAAUGAAUAACCAAUUAACCAUCUUUUGAAAGUUCCAAAAAAGGAAUACAUUUUAUUUCGGCCAUUAACCAAAUAUUAAUCAUAAAAACUGUGCAUAAUACAAACUAAUAACAUUUUCUUCAAUAAACCAAAUUCAUAUUUUAUAUAAACAUACAGAAAUCUUUUAUAAUAUCAUAUUAAGAGUUUGUGAAGAAAAAAGAAAACCUGUUCAACUGUCUAUUAAAGAAAAUGGGAACCACGUGUGCGGUAGUGAAAACUGAAAAGUGUGGAUAUGGAGCACAUUAUCAGUACUUUAUAUUUUGUAGAUUCUUGCGGUUAAAUGUCACAUGGAAGGUCGUCUUUGAUAACAUGGCCUUUCGGAUUGGUACCCAAAAGAAGAUUACACCCUAUCGCCAUCGGAUACGAAAUGGGCCCUAUUCAUACUUAAAAUUUGUACCCAUGUUUCGAUAGAGAUAUCGAUUUUUAAUUAUUAUAUAUUCAUGUUCAUAUAAUUAGAUCAAACAGAAUUCUAUAGUACAUAAAAAAAAGUUCCAAUUACAUGAAAGCGGAAAGCUAUUCCAACAUAUAUAAAAGCAUUCAAAACAAAAUAUUAGUGCAAAUAUUAAAUACUUGACCAAAAAUAUAGAUGUUCAGAUAAAUGUAAUUUUAAUUGAGAUAUUUUACUUUGUUUGGGUUUAAUUGAGAUAUUUUACUUUGUUUGGGUUGGGUACGAUAUUUCACACUCGCAAGCACAUGCUGUGGAAUGCAUGCACACACCCUCAUCCACACAAUAUAUCGAGUAAUAUCAUUUACACGCACAUGACAAAUACGAGUAUUAUUUAGGACAAAUAUUAUUUAGUUAAAAAAAAUAUACUAGUGUUGUGAGUCCUCAAUGUGACAGUCAGAUAAAUAAUUUAUUUCCGAUGAUUAAUUUCCUUCUAGAAAAAUGUCAUAUUCCAAAGAACAUGUAAUGUGUUGACAAGUAUCACUUACCGUUAUAAUAUAUCUAUAAGAUAUAUACACAUUUGAACCCUUUUUCGACGAAUAGUUUUAUUUAGGUUUAAGGCUUAGUGUCUUCAAUUUUGGGUUUUGGGUGUAGUUUCCUUUCAACACUAACAUCCCUUGAAUCUUGUUUAGAUUGCAUCGUAUUUUCUCUUUUCUUAGCUUCAUCUUUAAGGAAGCCACUAUAAGAAAAAACGAGUAUCAUUGACUGAAAAAUCAGUCUCUAUUGAAUGAUAAUUAGUCUCUGAUGGGCAUCAAAAUCAGUCCCUGAUAGCUAGUUCUAGAUAUUCCUUUUUUGAUGAAUCCAAGACUAAAGUCAGUCCCUCCAUUACCUCCCUUUCGACCUAAAGCAACCCUUGCCUCCGUUGUGGACCUCUUGAAGCUUUGUGGUGGUUUUUGGUUGUAUUGAAGAAGAAGAAGGUGUCCUUGGUGCUUAGAUCCAACAACCAAAACUCUUCAUCUCAUUCUUGCAUACAUUUUAGACUUUUGUAAGUCCUCAAGUUUCUACCUUUAUGUGACAUCCUUAUAGAUCUAAGAUUUUAUGAACUUUUCUUCCUAUUUAAAGUGGUUUGGGUGGAUGGAUUCCAUAAAGUUGGUGAAUUUAUGGAUCCUUGAGGUCCCUUUAUGGUUUCAUGUUUCACGCCGUGGUGGCCGACUGAGUUGGUUUUGACUAUUAACUUUGAUCGUUGACAGUUAACUUUUUAACCAAGUUGACUUUUAGUCAACCUGAGGGUUUUUAGACGUUAUAUUGAGGAUAUACCUCUAAUUGUUGUAUAUGUGGCUUGUAGCACCCGUCUUUUCUUUGUGAGAGUUGUGUUGUUGUCUGCUUGCCUAUGAGGUGAGUUUUCUCACUAUACUUUGUACUGAAAUAUAUAUCCUUAUUUGUAGGAUGUUGAUUCAUUAUAAUGAUAUGUUAGAUUAGUAUGCCUGUAUUUCUGGUUGUUGUUUGUUUGUUUGCAUAUGUCGCCAUAUUGUGGUUGGGUUGAGGUGGUCCUACUUUGUGUUGUAGGCCAAGAUACACGUGCGGUCCAAUUGAUAUUGUAGGCCCAAGGAGAGUGGUCCAACCACGUGAUGUAGGCUUAGGAGAGCGGUCCAGUUGAUAUUGUAGGCCCAAGGAGAGCAGUCCUGUAACAACAGAAAAUUUUAAACAAAAUUUUCAUUUCCAAAAAUGUAUUUUCAUCCAAAACAAGGCAUAAAUAUCCAAUGUAUCAUGUCAUAAUACAAAUCAUAUGAAUCCCAAGAUCAUAAAUCAUCUAUCAGUGUGUACAGAUCACGCCGGCGCCUUCCCACGGUCCUCGCUAGUACCUGAAACACAUACACAACAACUGUAAGC